CUCUUUUCUCUUUGCUUCCUCCUCCUUCCCCUUUCUAAUAAAACUUCUCACUUAAGCUCUGUCUGCCUGGCAUGCUUGUCCCUCCUCCUCGGUCACCCUCGUCUGCCAUGGAAUCCGCCAAGGUCCCCUCGUGUUUUAUCAUAACAAGGAGGUCUACUGAGAUGGAGAGGAACACCAUAGCUACAGCUUCUACCACAUUUGCAAGCUGCAGAGGGGUUUUGUACCAACGUGGAACAGCACCACAUCACAGCAAUGCUGUGUAAUUCAUCAUAUGAUCUUCUCUGGAGCCAAAUGAUUCGGUUGUUGUCUUAAAGAACACAGCCAGAGAGCCAGGAACCUUCUUUCCUUCCUCUGCAUGUUCCUUGGGUCCAGGAAGAUGGUUUGCUGUCACAAUCCAUGGGAACUAAAAGGGGCAAAGCUCUGUUGUUUUGGAUAGGUGGCCCGGAAGAGCUGAAAGGCCCCUGUUCUCCGCAGGCUACCUGGAGCAAAGACACUGCGUCCACUCUUGUCCCACCUUCUGUAAGAGACACUUCUCUUUUUAUCUCUUCUAGAAAUACACAAUGUGGCCCCCUCUUAUAAACAAUCCAGUGGUUGAAA